CUUAACACAUGCAAGUCGAGGGGCAGCAUGAAGUCAGCUUGCUGACUUUGAUGGCGACCGGCGCACGGGUGAGUAACGCGUAUCCAACCUUCCCCUUACUCAGGAAUAGCCCGUUGAAAGACGGAUUAAUGCCUGAUGUUCUCAUGUUGCCGCAUGGCGAUAUGAGCAAAGAUUCAUCGGAAACGGAUAGGCUCGCGUGACAUUAGCUGGAUGGCGGGGUAACGGCCCACCAUGGCUACGAUGUCUAGGGGUUCUGAGAGGAAGGUCCCCCACACUGGAACUGAGACACGGUCCAGACUCCUACGGGAGGCAGCAGUGAGGAAUAUUGGUCAAUGGUCGAGAGACUGAACCAGCCAUGCCGCGUGAAGGUCACGGCCCUAUGGGUCUUAAACUUCUUUUGUAAGGGAGCAAUAAGUCUCACGUGUGGGAUGAUGAGAGUACCUUACGAAUAAGCAUCGGCUAACUCCGUG
rnacentral:rRNA from 1 species